rnacentral:lncRNA from 1 species
GGCCGCAUGUUGCACAGGCGGCUUUCCUUCAGGAGCCGGCACUGGUCGUUGUCGUUGGAAAUCCUGGUGGAGAUGCCCAGCCCGCAGGUCUUUGAGCAGGGACUCCACGGUGAGGUGUGAACGAUGCAGUUUUUCUGCCAGGCUUCAUCCUCCCCCUCAUAUGCUGCAGAAGAGAUGUGGCGUGGAGAAGUCUUCCUGAUUUUCUUGGAGUCAUCACAAACCCACUGCUCACAGCACUUCCCUGCCAUCUUAA